UCUGGAUUCUCAUACUCAAGAAAAUAUGAAGGGUAUGAUGCCAACGAUACUAUUUGGUCCGAACAGGCUUCUAAGUUUCUUUUACAGUGGCUUGUUGAGCACCCACAGUUCAUCUCCAAUCCCCUCUACAUUGCUGGGGAUUCAUAUGCUGGAAAAAUUGUACCUAUGGUGGCCAAAAGAAUAUUGGAUGGUAUUGAUGAAGGGAAAGAGCCAUUACUUAACCUCCAGG